GACGAACGCCGGCGGCGUGCCUAUACAUGCAAAGUAGAACGCUGAAGAGAGGAGCUUGCUCUUCUGGGUGAGUUGCGAACGGUUGAGUAACGCGUAGGUAACCUGCCUUGUAGCGGGGGAUAACUAUUGGAAACGAUAGCUAAUACCGCAUAACAAUGGAUGACACAUGUCAUUUAUUUGAAAGGGGCAAUUGCUCCACUACAAGAUGGACCUGCGUUGUAUUAGCUAGUAGGUGAGGUAACGGCUCACCUAGGCGACGAUACAUAGCCGACCUGAGAGGGUGAUCGGCCACACUGGGACUGAGACACGGCCCAGACUCCUACGGGAGGCAGCAGUAGGGAAUCUUCGGCAAUGGGGGCAACCCUGACCGAGCAACGCCGCGUGAGUGAAGAAGGUUUUCGGAUCGUAAAGCUCUGUUGUAAGUCAAGAACGAGUGUGAGAGUGGAAAGUUCACACUGUGACGGUAGCUUACCAGGAAGGGACGGCUAACUACGUGCCAGCAGCCGCGGUAAUACGUAGGUCCCGAGCGUUGUCCGGAUUUAUUGGGCGUAAAGCGAGCGCAGGCGGUUUGAUAAGUCUGAAGUUAAAGGCUGUGGCUCAACCAUAGUUCGCUUUGGAAACUGUCAAACUUGAGUGCAGAAGGGGAGAGUGGAAUUCCAUGUGUAGCGGUGAAAUGCGUAGAUAUAUGGAGGAACACCGGUGGCGAAAGCGGCUCUCUGGUCUGUAACUGACGCUGAGGCUCGAAAGCGUGGGGAGCGAACAGG
rnacentral:rRNA from 1 species